AUAGAAUAACAGUGCAAAGAUCAGAAGGAAGGAUUUGAUUUUGCCUUAUAAUUUGAUGAAGUUUACGUAUUUCUAUAAUUUACAGAUAACAGGACGCUAAACUAUUCAUAAGCACUUAAUUCCAGUGUGACCUUUAACCUGCUUCCAAUGCUGGCUCUGUUAUUUGAAUGAUCUUUACGCUCGCCAUUUCAGGUUAUAUCUAUCUUUGUCAUAGCUUAUAUAAAUACAUAUUUUUUUUUACAACAAAGGAGACACCUCAAGGGCACAAAAAAGAGGAAACAAUAAUAAUAAAAAAGCCCUCUACUCGCUGCUCCUAAAAAGAAUCCAAAGAAGUGUCCGAAAGAGGGGAAAGAGGAGUAGGCUAUUUAGCUCAAAAUAUUUGCCAAAUACAUCACGGAAGAACUAUAUAUAUACUGACAUUAACAGACCCAAGUACGUCAUAACUACCGAACGAGGAUAUAUUCGAAACUUCCUAGGAAAAUGGAACAGUUUCAUUCUUCGUUUCGAGCAUGGUAACCCAGCAGUGAUGGUAGACUUAGUGCUUUAUCGGUGUAUAGCAAGUGUCAUGAACUAACUCCUCCUCCACAGGUAUACAGGUAACUCAAUAAAAAAGCUCAGUUAAAUUACAUGGCUGAGGAAGCUGCUUUAUUUCUCUCGUGUCAGUCAUGGUACCUAAAAUAACAGUGGCAACAGAUACAGCAACCCAGUCCCGUUGAGAGAAGUAGUGUCUUAUUAGUGUACGAAGGUGUUGGGCGCCUGUUAGGGCCUCUCAGCUGAAGGUAAAGGUAACGUAAUUUUGGUGGUAAAUGCUAUAGCUGCGCGUGGCCUCGGUGCUCAUCUUCGUCCCAUUGACUCUUGAAAUGGAGCUUAAAACCCAGAUAAAUGUGUACGAUUGAGCUAACUGCUUUAUCAAUCUCAUUUCAUGGAUGUUAACGUAUUUAUAGUAGGCUAGUACAGGUAGAAUUACCCUCUUAAUUAAUUCAAGGCAGGUGUAAGGUGCUAUAAAAAUGUUACCCCUCCACCAGGUGUAUAUAAUGGACUAUGAAAGGUGAAAGAAAUGUAUAUGGGUUGUGUUUUUUGCGCCCUGCCUCCUCUAUGAAGCAAGGACGUGGGCUGAUAACUAUCUUGCCUAACCUCCCGUGCACCUGCCUUGGAGAUAAUAAAAAAGGAUGAGGGCUUCCUUUGUGUGCUUGUGUAAUGGGUGAUGUAUACUGUAUAUAUAUAGCCCGCUGCUACCUGUAUGAAGCAAGGUAGGGUGGUGGGUGAUAAGCCUAUCUAGCCUAGGAUUCCUGCACCUGCUUUAGGGGUAUACAAAAAGGUGAGAACUUCUUUUAUCCGUCCUUUUUGGUACGUAGUUAAGUUACAAGGAAUAGCAAGUGUGUUUCCCAUAGAAUUCUUGGGUAAAGGCAAAUGAAAAUGUUUAUAUAGGUUGAAAACGUAUAUUUAUAGAUUAAUUCAGGUUUGGUUUGGCAUGAUUUAGUUUGAUUCGAUUUCGUUCGGAUUGAUUUUGUUAGAAUGGUUUUGGGAUUAGUUAUGUCAGAGUAUUUCUUUUACUGUAAACCUCUCCUUUUCUCUUUCUUCAUAUAUCUCCCCUCGCUCUUCCUCAGUAACCUAUUCUGUUCUAGUUUUUUAUUAGUUCUCCCUUUCAACGAUAAGUAGAAGAAAACCAUUGUCUUUAUUGAGAUUCUUAUCGUGGAGAGAGAGAGAGAGAGAGAGAGAGAGAGAGAGAGAGAGAGAGAGAGAGAGAGAGAGAGAAUGUGUCCGAGAGAAAUAGCCUCAUCCAUAUCAUUCCACUGUCCCAACUUUAAUAUCCUCACCAGGAAGAAAAAUGCCGAUAAGAACAUGAACAAAGUUUCUUGACCGUGAGUACAAGAAAAAUAAAGCAAGAGAUCACGCACGGCAGCGGGUGAUAAGGCCCAAAUAAGAUGCUGAGGGCCGCCGAGCAGGUGUGCUGACGCGGAGAAAUAUGAGCAGGUGAUAAGAAGAUUGUGACUGAUUACGUGUGAUUGAUUGGGUUGUUGUUGUUGCUGUUGUUGUAGUAGUAGUAGUAGCAGUAGUAGUAGUAGUAGUAGUAGUGCUAAUAAUAGUAACGAUGAUAAGAUAAAAAAGUAAUAAUAAGAAAAUGCAGGAUAUGUACGUGUAUAUGUAUAGGGAAGACCAAUAUUCCAGAUUUUUUAUUUCAUUUAUUUUUUUUAUUUUUACUUCAUUAUUUUUUUUAUAUAUUCUCUCACCUGCCGCCUCACCUGCCCUCAAAGCCUCCCUCAUCUCCCUCUUUACAGGUGUGUGUGGCCUCUUCACUUACCUCCACCUCGUCGCUCCCUGACUCCCUCCACCGAGCAUCUGCAGCCCCUACCUACCUGCUUACCUGUUUCCCUUCAAGCCAGGCGAAGAUAGGUGACGUCUCGAGGGGUGACUAUUGCUGUUUGUGGUGAGAGUCGCGAGGUGAGUUGAAGGUAAAGUCAUCGCGUAGCAAAGUCAGAGGCACCACCAGCACCUCCUUGACCACCACCACCACUACCACCACCACCACUACCACCACCACCACCACAUGCUCCAAGAAUGUUAAAUAAGAAUGAUAUAUGAGUUUUCAUCUGGGCCACGUGAGAGUUACCUGACGGAGAAGGAGGAGGAGGGGGAGGAGGGAGAGAAAAAGAAGAAGAAAAAGCGAAGGGGAAAAAGAAUAAAAGAAAGAGAGGGAGGGAAAGGAGAAAAAGGGACGUAAAAGAGGAGAAAAGAAAGAAGGAGGAAAAGACCUCCCCAAAUGGUAUUAAUGAUGGUAAUGAUGACGAUGAUGACGCCAAGGGGACGCUCACACAUCACGUGGGAGGAACAAGUCGGUGGAUGGAUCCUGCUGGGAGGCCCUUCGUAUGGGAAAGGCGCCUGCAUGAAAACUUAAAUGACCUCUGG